rnacentral:rRNA from 1 species
GACGAACGCUGGCGGCGUGUCUAAUACAUGCAAGUCGAGCGGACGAAUCGAAAGCUUGCUUUUGAUUCGUUAGCGGCGGACGGGUGAGUAACACGUGGGCAACCUGCCCUGUAGACGGGGAUAACACCGAGAAAUCGGUGCUAAUACCGGAUAACACGAAAUGUCGCAUGACGUUUCGUUGAAAGACGGCGCAAGCUGUCGCUACAGGAUGGGCCCGCGGCGCAUUAGCUAGUUGGUGAGGUAACGGCUCACCAAGGCGACGAUGCGUAGCCGACCUGAGAGGGUGAGCGGCCACACUGGGACUGAGACACGGCCCAGACUCCUACGGGAGGCAGCAGUAGGGAAUCUUCCGCAAUGGACGAAAGUCUGACGGAGCAACGCCGCGUGAGCGAAGAAGGCCUUCGGGUCGUAAAGCUCUGUUGUUAGGGAAGAACAAGUAACGCAGUAACUGGCGUUACCGUGACGGUACCUAACGAGAAAGCCACGGCUAACUACGUG